rnacentral:rRNA from 1 species
AUUGAACGCUGGCGGCAGGCCUAACACAUGCAAGUCGAACGGUAACAGGAUUAGCUUGCUAAUCGCUGACGAGUGGCGGACGGGUGAGUAAUACUUAGGGAUCUGCCUUUGGGAGGGGGAUAACCAUUGGAAACGAUGGCUAAUACCGCAUAACGUCUACGGACCAAAGGGGGCUUCGGCUCUCACCUGAAGAGGAACCUAAGCGAGAUUAGCUAGUUGGUGGGGUAAAGGCUCACCAAGGCGACGAUCUCUAGCUGUUCUGAGAGGAAGAUCAGCCACACUGGGACUGAGACACGGCCCAGACUCCUACGGGAGGCAGCAGUGGGGAAUAUUGCACAAUGGGGGAAACCCUGAUGCAGCCAUGCCGCGUGUGUGAAGAAGGCCUUCGGGUUGUAAAGCACUUUCAGUUGUGAGGAAAGGUUAGUAGUUAAUACCUGCUAGCUGUGACGUUAACAACAGAAGAAGCACCGGCUAACUCCGUG